UACGUAGGGGGCAAGCGUUAUCCGGAUUCACUGGGUGUAAAGGGAGCGUAGACGGCGACGCAAGUCUGGAGUGAAAGCCCGGGGCCCAACCCCGGGACUGCUCUGGAAACUGCGGGGCUGGAGUGCAGGAGGGGUAAGCGGAAUUCCUAGUGUAGCGGUGAAAUGCGUAGAUAUUAGGAGGAACACCGGUGGCGAAGGCGGCUUACUGGACUGUAACUGACGUUGAGGCUCGAAGGCGUGGGGAGCAAACAGG
rnacentral:rRNA from 1 species